rnacentral:lncRNA from 1 species
CUUGGGGAGGAGGUGCCUCGAUUUUUCUGGAAGAAGGUGGCAGAAAGAGCAAAUCAAGCUAAGAGGGCCUGCUAGCUGGUGGCUCUUUCCUGCUCAGGACAGUGCUCUUGGACAGACCCUCCAGUGGGCACUUAAGAGUCCUAGGAAACUGAAGCCCAGAGAUGCCAAAUGAUUGAGGUCCGAGGUCAUCCAGCAUCAGAGCCAGGAUUACCCAAUCACUUAAAAUGCAGCUCAACUGUGAAAGUGAGGAGGGAGAAUAUAAGUGUGAGUUCAUGACCCGCCAUCCUCAGGGGAAGCCUGCAUCAUGUCACCCCCGCCAGGUGAUGCACGUGCACAUGCCUCUGAUCUAUCUAACCUGCCAGCUACAGAAAUCAAGACAAAGCCUGGAAUCUACCAACCUACCAGCAUCUCCAGCAGGAAAGGGU